rnacentral:rRNA from 1 species
AUAUUAUCUAUUUUGGAUGUUAAUGGGCUUAUUUUUACACUUCUAUAUUAUUUUUGGGACUAACCUAUUAACCGGAGGCCCAGCCCAAAUUGCUGUUUUUUGCCUAUUUUAGAGUUUCGCCGAAAAGGAAUAUCAAACAGAGUCCAAAUGGAAUGAAACCUUCGGGAGCAUUAUUUUUGGAACAAACGUGAUCCAGGAGACUUGGAGUGGACGUCAAGAAACAAUCAAGGAGGCCACGAGGCAGGGGGCGCGCCCACCCCCUGGGCGCGCCCUCCACCCUCGUGGGCCCCUCGUUGCUCCACCGACCCACUUCUUCCUCCUAUAUAUAUCCAUAUACCCCGCAAACAUCCAGGAG